ACUGGUAUUUUUGUUAGUUUAUUUACUAUAUACUAAUUCUCAACGCACUGUUCAUCGGCUUAUGAACAGUGUCGGCUCCAGCCGAGCCGUAUUGUCAAAAGUCUAUUGUACCCCUGCCUCCUGUCUCUUGCGUCGACACCUGGGUGUUCUCAGUGCUAUCGUGUCUUUGCUUCUUCGUUGCAGAGAGGUGGAGAGAGAGAGCGAGGAAAGUGGUGAUUUCUUGGACAGUUGGGUUGUUGCUCAGCAGUGUGUGUAUUUCUUGCUUCGACACCUGGGUGUUCUCAGUGCUAUCGUGUCUAUGAUACCUCGCUACACCGAGAGGGGUUUCUGGGUUAUGGCUUAACCUUGAGGUGGAGGUGUGUUGAGAACGGCAGCAAAGCUGCUGAGGUGUGGCUUCAAACAUCCAAUUCCAGAGUUAUUGUUCAUGCUUGGAGACAUAGAUUGCUUCUACAUUCAAGGUUUCAUAUGCUACUAUUGUAAAAAAUUGGUCUGCAAGGUCUGAAGAGAAGGAGAAAGUUUGGGUACAGCAAGAAGGAAACUGGGAAAAGAGAUUAAAUAGGCAUGCAAUUGUUUUGAGCAGCAGAUGAAUGGCAACCAAAAAGAUGAAGUGAUUUGCGAAGCAAGCGAAAAGAUGAAGUGGUCUGCCAGUGAUAUGGUC